UCUAAGCUAUACAUUUUUUAUCGUAAAACAUAUUGAACAUAGUUUGCACUUAUGCCAUGCGCCUUACGGAUUCCUUUUAAAUGGGGCAGAUUCUCCGAGAUCAUUCGUCCGCAGGUUUUCAUGGCAGUUGGCGGGAUUUUGACUGGCGAAAUCUUUCCAAUAACCCUGUCCGCGUGCGACUCAGUCCUCUUGUUCCUCUGAUAUUGUCGUCGUUCUCUGGAAGGAAGCAUUAAGAACCCAUGCGAUAUGGAAAGAAAUUCGCUCCAGACGACAUCAUCCACAGGAAGUUCAAUAAUCAAUGACAACCACUGACUCUGGCCAUCCCAGUCUCCGCGCUUACCAUAUUGUUAAUUGGAAUCUAUAAGCUGAAAGUCACUCCCAGGCAUAAUGAACAUCAUUAAUGUCAAGUCCAAG